UUACGGUCAAAUCACGCUGAAACACCGGUUCUCGUACGAUCACCGAAGUUAAGCAGCGUAGAGCCAGGUCAGUACUUAGAUUGGGGACCGCUUGGGAACACCUGGUACUGUAAG
rnacentral:rRNA from 1 species